rnacentral:rRNA from 1 species
AUUCCAGCUCCAAUAGCGUAUAUUAAAGUUGUUGCAGUUAAAAAGCUCGUAGUCGAAUUUCAGGGCGGCGGGCACGGUCUGCCGAUGGGUAUGCACUGUGUCGGCCGCCUUUCCUGCUGGGGUCCGCGUCUGCACUUAACUGUGCGGGCGCGGGGAACAGCGCGUUUACUUUGAGAAAAUCAGAGUGUUUAAAGCAGGCCAAGAUUGCUCUUGCAUGGAUUAGCAUGGGAUAAUGAAAUAGGACUUUGGUGCUAUUUUGUUGGUUUCGAGUACCGAAGUAAUGAUUAAUAGGGAUAGUCAGGGGCACUUGUAUUCCGUUGAGAGAGGUGAAAUUCUUAGACCAAUGGAAGACAAACUACUGCGAAAGCAUUUGCCAAGGAUGUUUUCAUCA